GGUUAAGCGACUAAGCGUACACGGUGGAUGCCCUGGCAGUCAGAGGCGAUGAAGGACGUGCUAAUCUGCGAUAAGCGUCGGUAAGGUGAUAUGAACCGUUAUAACCGGCGAUUUCCGAAUGGGGAAACCCAGUGUGUUUCGACACACUAUCAUUAACUGAAUCCAUAGGUUAAUGAGGCGAACCGGGGGAACUGAAACAUCUAAGUACCCCGAGGAAAAGAAAUCAACCGAGAUUCCCCCAGUAGCGGCGAGCGAACGGGGAGGAGCCCAGAGCCUGAAUCAGUGUGUGUGUUAGUGGAAGCGUCUGGAAAGGCGCGCGAUACAGGGUGACAGCCCCGUACACAAAAAUGCACAUGCUGUGAGCUCGAUGAGUAGGGCGGGACACGUGGUAUCCUGUCUGAAUAUGGGGGGACCAUCCUCCAAGGCUAAAUACUCCUGACUGACCGAUAGUGAACCAGUACCGUGAGGGAAAGGCGAAAAGAACCCCGGCGAGGGGAGUGAAAAAGAACCUGAAACCGUGUACGUACAAGCAGUGGGAGCACGCUUAGGCGUGUGACUGCGUACCUUUUGUAUAAUGGGUCAGCGACUUAUAUUCUGUAGCAAGGUUAACCGAAUAGGGGAGCCGAAGGGAAACCGAGUCUUAACUGGGCGUUAAGUUGCAGGGUAUAGACCCGAAACCCGGUGAUCUAGCCAUGGGCAGGUUGAAGGUUGGGUAACACUAACUGGAGGACCGAACCGACUAAUGUUGAAAAAUUAGCGGAUGACUUGUGGCUGGGGGUGAAAGGCCAAUCAAACCGGGAGAUAGCUGGUUCUCCCCGAAAGCUAUUUAGGUAGCGCCUCGUGAAUUCAUCUCCGGGGGUAGAGCACUGUUUCGGCAAGGGGGUCAUCCCGACUUACCAACCCGAUGCAAACUGCGAAUACCGGAGAAUGUUAUCACGGGAGACACACGGCGGGUGCUAACGUCCGUCGUGAAGAGGGAAACAACCCAGACCGCCAGCUAAGGUCCCAAAGUCAUGGUUAAGUGGGAAACGAUGUGGGAAGGCCCAGACAGCCAGGAUGUUGGCUUAGAAGCAGCCAUCAUUUAAAGAAAGCGUAAUAGCUCACUGGUCGAGUCGGCCUGCGCGGAAGAUGUAACGGGGCUAAACCAUGCACCGAAGCUGCGGCAGCGACGCUGAUGCGUUGUUGGGUAGGGGAGCGUUCUGUAAGCCUGUGAAGGUGUACUGUGAGGUAUGCUGGAGGUAUCAGAAGUGCGAAUGCUGACAUAAGUAACGAUAAAGCGGGUGAAAAGCCCGCUCGCCGGAAGACCAAGGGUUCCUGUCCAACGUUAAUCGGGGCAGGGUGAGUCGACCCCUAAGGCGAGGCCGAAAGGCGUAGUCGAUGGGAAACAGGUUAAUAUUCCUGUACUUGGUGUUACUGCGAAGGGGGGACGGAGAAGGCUAUGUUGGCCGGGCGACGGUUGUCCCGGUUUAAGCGUGUAGGCUGGUUUUCCAGGCAAAUCCGGAAAAUCAAGGCUGAGGCGUGAUGACGAGGCACUACGGUGCUGAAGCAACAAAUGCCCUGCUUCCAGGAAAAGCCUCUAAGCAUCAGGUAACAUCAAAUCGUACCCCAAACCGACACAGGUGGUCAGGUAGAGAAUACCAAGGCGCUUGAGAGAACUCGGGUGAAGGAACUAGGCAAAAUGGUGCCGUAACUUCGGGAGAAGGCACGCUGAUAUGUAGGUGAAGUCCCUCGCGGAUGGAGCUGAAAUCAGUCGAAGAUACCAGCUGGCUGCAACUGUUUAUUAAAAACACAGCACUGUGCAAACACGAAAGUGGACGUAUACGGUGUGACGCCUGCCCGGUGCCGGAAGGUUAAUUGAUGGGGUUAGCGCAAGCGAAGCUCUUGAUCGAAGCCCCGGUAAACGGCGGCCGUAACUAUAACGGUCCUAAGGUAGCGAAAUUCCUUGUCGGGUAAGUUCCGACCUGCACGAAUGGCGUAAUGAUGGCCAGGCUGUCUCCACCCGAGACUCAGUGAAAUUGAACUCGCUGUGAAGAUGCAGUGUACCCGCGGCAAGACGGAAAGACCCCGUGAACCUUUACUAUAGCUUGACACUGAACAUUGAGCCUUGAUGUGUAGGAUAGGUGGGAGGCUUUGAAGUGUGGACGCCAGUCUGCAUGGAGCCGACCUUGAAAUACCACCCUUUAAUGUUUGAUGUUCUAACGUUGACCCGUAAUCCGGGUUGCGGACAGUGUCUGGUGGGUAGUUUGACUGGGGCGGUCUCCUCCUAAAGAGUAACGGAGGAGCACGAAGGUUGGCUAAUCCUGGUCGGACAUCAGGAGGUUAGUGCAAUGGCAUAAGCCAGCUUGACUGCGAGCGUGACGGCGCGAGCAGGUGCGAAAGCAGGUCAUAGUGAUCCGGUGGUUCUGAAUGGAAGGGCCAUCGCUCAACGGAUAAAAGGUACUCCGGGGAUAACAGGCUGAUACCGCCCAAGAGUUCAUAUCGACGGCGGUGUUUGGCACCUCGAUGUCGGCUCAUCACAUCCUGGGGCUGAAGUAGGUCCCAAGGGUAUGGCUGUUCGCCAUUUAAAGUGGUACGCGAGCUGGGUUUAGAACGUCGUGAGACAGUUCGGUCCCUAUCUGCCGUGGGCGCUGGAGAACUGAGGGGGGCUGCUCCUAGUACGAGAGGACCGGAGUGGACGCAUCACUGGUGUUCGGGUUGUCAUGCCAAUGGCACUGCCCGGUAGCUAAAUGCGGAAGAGAUAAGUGCUGAAAGCAUCUAAGCACGAAACUUGCCCCGAGAUGAGUUCUCCCUGACUCCUUGAGAGUCCUGAAGGAACGUUGAAGACGACGACGUUGAUAGGCCGGAUGUGUAAGCGCAGCGAUGCGUUGAGCUAACCGGUACUAAUGAACCGUGAGGCUUAACCUU
rnacentral:rRNA from 1 species